rnacentral:rRNA from 1 species
UACGUAGGGGGCAAGCGUUGUCCGGAAUCAUUGGGCGUAAAGCGCGUGUAGGCGGCUUGGUAAGUCUGCUCUGAAAGCCCGGGGCUCAACCCCGGGAGGCGGGUGGAUACUGCUGAGCUCGAGUCCGGAAGAGGCGAGUGGAAUUCCUGGUGUAGCGGUGAAAUGCGCAGAUAUCAGGAGGAACACCGAUGGCGAAGGCAGCUCGCUGGGACGGUACUGACGCUGAGACGCGAAAGCGUGGGAGCGAACAGG